rnacentral:rRNA from 1 species
AGCAGCCGCGGUAAUUCCAGCUCCAAUAGCGUAUAUUAAAGUUGUUGCAGUUAAAAAGCUCGUAGUUGAAUUUCGGGAUCAAUAUAUCGGUCGUGUCCCUGUACGUACUGGUAUCAUUGAUUUCUCCUUUCUGACGAAUCAUUAUGUCAUUAAUUUGGUGUUAUGAGGAGUUAGGACUGUUACUUUGAAAAAUUAGAGUGUUUAAAGCAGGCAUUAGCUUGAAUACAUUAGCAUGGAAUAAUGAAAUAGGACGUUUGACCUUAUUUUGUUGGUUUCUAGGAUCGACGUAAUGAUUAAUAGGGAUAGUUGGGGGCAUUAGUAUUCAAUUGUCAGAGGUGAAAUUCUUGGAUUUAUUGAAGACUAUCUACUGCGAAAGCAUUUGCCAAGGAUGUUUUCAUUAAUCAAGAACGAAAGUUAGGGGAUCGAAGACGAUCAGAUACCGUCGUAGUC